rnacentral:rRNA from 1 species
UUUGACCUCGGAUCAGGUAGGGAUACCCGCUGAACUUAAGCAUAUCAAUAAGCGGAGGAAAAGAAACCAACAGGGAUUGCCCUAGUAACGGCGAGUGAAGCGGCAACAGCUCAAAUUUGAAAUCUGGCUCUUUCAGGGUCCGAGUUGUAAUUUGUAGAGGGUGCUUUGGCGUCGGCCGUGGUCUAAGUUCCUUGGAACAGGACGUCACAGAGGGUGAGAACCCCGUACGUGGCCGCUGGCCUUCGCCGUGUAAAGCCCCUUCGACGAGUCGAGUUGUUUGGGAAUGCAGCUCUAAAUGGGAGGUAAAUUUCUUCUAAAGCUAAAUAUUGGCCAGAGACCGAUAGCGCACAAGUAGAGUGAUCGAAAGAUGAAAAGCACUUUGGAAAGAGAGUCAAAAAGCACGUGAAAUUGUUGAAAGGGAAGCGCUUGCAGCCAGACUUGCCUGUAGUUGCUCAUCCGAGCUUUUGUUCGGUGCACUCUUCUGCGGGCAGGCCAGCAUCAGUUCGGGCGGUCGGAUAAAGGUCUCGGGAAUGUGGCUCCUCUCGGGGAGUGUUAUAGCCCGGGGCGUCAUGCGACCAGUCUGGACUGAGGUCCGCGCAUCUGCUAGGAUGCUGGCGUAAUGGCUGUAAGCGGCCCGUCUUGAAACACGGACCAAGGAGUCUAACAUCUAUGCGAGUGUUUGGGUGUCAAGCCCGGGCGCGUAAUGAAAGUGAACGGAGGUGGGAACCCCUCGGGGUGCACCAUCGACCGAUCCUGAUGUCUUCGGAUGGAUUUGAGUAAGAGCAUAGCUGUUGGGACCCGAAAGAUGGUGAACUAUGCCUGAAUAGGGUGAAGCCAGAGGAAACUCUGGUGGAGGCUCGCAGCGGUUCUGACGUGCAAAUCGAUCGUCAAAUUUGGGCAUAGGGGCGAAAGACUAAUCGAAC